rnacentral:rRNA from 1 species
GUCUAUGGCCAUAUCACUCUGAAUGCGCCCGAUCUCGUCUGAUCUCGGAAGAUAAGGAGGGUCGGGCCUGGUGGAGUGGCUCAAGGUGUAGGCC